rnacentral:rRNA from 1 species
AUUGAACGCUGGCGGCAGGCCUAACACAUGCAAGUCGAGAGGUUGACGGGAGCUUGCUCCCUGAUUCAGCGGCGGACGGGUGAGUAAUGCCUAGGAAUCUGCCUAUUAGUGGGGGAUAACGUUUCGAAAGGAACGCUAAUACCGCAUACGUCCUACGGGAGAAAGCAGGGGACCUUCGGGCCUUGCGCUAUCAGAUGAGCCUAGGUCGGAUUAGCUAGUUGGUGAGGUAAUGGCUCACCAAGGCGACGAUCCGUAACUGGUCUGAGAGGAUGAUCAGUCACACUGGAACUGAGACACGGUCCAGACUCCUACGGGAGGCAGCAGUGGGGAAUAUUGGACAAUGGGCGAAAGCCUGAUCCAGCCAUGCCGCGUGUGUGAAGAAGGUCUUCGGAUUGUAAAGCACUUUAAGUUGGGAGGAAGGGUUGCAGAUUAAUACUCUGCAAUUUUGACGUUACCGACAGAAUAAGCACCGGCUAACUCUGUGCCAGCCGCCGCUGUAAAAC